rnacentral:rRNA from 1 species
UACGGAGGGUGCGAGCGUUGUCCGGAAUCACUGGGCGUAAAGCGUGCGCAGGCGGUUCGCCAAGUCAGGUGUGAAAUCCCCGGGCUUAACCUGGGAAUUGCGCUUGAAACUAGCGGGCUUGAGUGUGGCAGAGGGGGGUGGAAUUCCACGUGUAGCAGUGAAAUGCGCAGAUAUCAGGAAGAACACCCGUGGCGAAGGCGGCUCUCUGGGACGGUACUGACGCUGAGACGCGAAAGCGUGGGGAGCGAACAGG